rnacentral:rRNA from 1 species
GAUGAACGCUGGCGGCGUGCCUAAUACAUGCAAGUCGAGCGAACAGACGAGGAGCUUGCUCCUCUGACGUUAGCGGCGGACGGGUGAGUAACACGUGGAUAACCUACCUAUAAGUCUGGGAUAACUUCGGGAAACCGGAGCUAAUACCGGAUAAUAUAUUGAACCGCAUGGUUCAAUAGUUAAAGACGGUUUUGCUGUCACUUAUAGAUGGUUCCGCGCCGCAUUAGCUAGUUGGUAAGGUAACGGCUUACCAAGGCAACGAUGCGUAGCCGACCUGAGAGGGUGAUCGGCCACACUGGAAGGGAGACACGGUCCAGACACCUACGGGAGGCAGCAGUAGGGAAUAUUACGCAAUGGGCGAAAGCAUGACGGAGCAAGGGCGCGUGAGUGAUGAAGGUCUUCGGAUCGUAAAACUCUGUUAUUAGGGAAGAAGAAAUGUGUAAGUAAAUAUGCACGUAUUGACGGUAACUAAACAGAAAGCAACGGCUAACUACGUG